rnacentral:rRNA from 1 species
ACGGAAGGCAGCAGUGGGGGAUAUUGGACAAUGGGGGCAACCCUGAUCCAGCGACGCCGCGUGAGGGAAGAAGGUUUUCGGAUUGUAAACCUCUGUUGACAGGGAAAAUAGUGAUGGUACCUGUUCAGAAAGCCACGGCUAACUACGUGCCAGCAGCCGCGGUAAUACGUAGGUGGCAAGCGUUGUCCGGAAUUACUGGGUGUAAAGGGAGCGUAGGCGGGACUGCAAGUCAGAAGUGAAAAUUAUGGGCUCAACUCAUAACCUGCUUUUGAAACUGUAGUUCUUGAGUGAAGUAGAGGCAAGCGGAAUUCCUAGUGUAGCGGUGAAAUGCGUAGAUAUUAGGAGGAACACCAGUGGCGAAGGCGGCUUGCUGGGCUUUUACUGACGCUGAGGCUCGAAAGCGUGGGGAGCAAACAGGAUUAGAUACCCUGGUA